rnacentral:rRNA from 1 species
AUGUCGUUGCUGCUUGGGUUUUUGAUUAGCUGCAUGCUGUUGUGCUGCUUGAAUGCUUUUGGUUGGGUUCUUUUCUUCGUGCUGCUGUUGAGCGUUGACUGUCACUGCUGCUUGCUGUUAGGGAGCAUGGCAUCUGGGAGCGCCGCCGCCGGUAGCCAAUCGUCCGUGGGUGAGAGUGAAGAGCUCCUAUUUAUCAUGUUAUUAGUGGACUGUGUUAUGCUGUCAUGUUGUGUUUACUGUCUAGUGUGUACUACGGUUUAUUUUUGUAAUACCGCGUCACGUUGGGAGCUUGAGAUUGCCAAACCAUACUGCACUUGGGAGCCAAAUACAUUGGACAUUUGGAAAGCAAAUGUCUUUACUGUUUUCAUGUUCUGUACCACUGAAGGUUAUGUCUUCUUAAGUUUCUAA